AUGCUCUGGAGGUCUUCGCUGGGUCUGGGACUUCCGGCCAGCGGCUCGGACGCUUUUGUGGGACCUUCCGGCCUGCGCCCCUAGUCGCCCCCGGCAACCAGGUGGCCCUGAGGAUGACGACGGAUGAGGGCACAGGAGGACGAGGCUUCCUGCUCUGGUACAGCGGGCGGGCCACCUCGGGCACUGAGCACCAAUUUUGCGGGGGGCGGCUGGAGAAGGCCCAGGGAACCCUGACCACGCCCAACUGGCCCGAGUCCGAUUACCCCCCGGGCAUCAGCUGUUCCUGGCACAUCAUCGCGCCCCCGGACCAGGUACCGACCCUCCUCCCCGGGCUGCCCUAGGGGACCCAGGCGGCGCCCUCCAGCUUACAGCCAGCAGAGAUUUAUUGAAGAUCUGCUGUGUCCCGAGCACUGCGCUUGCGCUGGUGGGCACCCAAAACAGCCCCAACCCCUGCAUGCACGCAAACAAAAAUGUAAAAAUUACAACUGAGACAAGUCUCAGGAGAGCGAGGUACAGGGUCCUGGUAUAACACGCGGGCCUGUCACUUGUGAGUGCGCCAGGACUUGACCUUGCCAACCACGACGACCGACGCCCCUGCAGGGUCCCAUGGGUGUGUGUGGUCCUCCGUGCUGUGUUGUGAACGCCUUCAGGAGGGGGGCCCAGAGGACGCGGGAGGUGGGAGUGGG
rnacentral:sRNA from 1 species